rnacentral:rRNA from 1 species
UUCCGGUUGAUCCUGCCGGACCCGACUGCUAUCAGAGUGAGAUUAAGCCAUGCGAGUUAACGUAGCAAUACGUGGCGCACGGCUCAGUAACGCGUAGUCAACAUGCCCAGAGGACGUGGAUAACCUCGGGAAACUGAGUCUAAACCGCGAUAAGUGAGGAUUUCUGGAAUGGUUCCUGACUAAAAUCUAUAUGGCCUCUGGAUUGGACUGCGGCCGAUCAGGCUGUUGGUGAGGUAAUGGCCCACCAAACCUGUAACCGGUACGGGCUCUGAGAGGAGGAGCCCGGAGAUGGGCACUGAGACAAGGGCCCAGGCCCUAUGGGGCGCAGCAAGCGCGAAACCUCUGCAAUAGGCGAAAGCCUGACAGGGUUACUCUGAGUGACUUUCGCUAAGAAAGUCUUUUGGCACCUCUAAAAAGGGUGCAGAAUAAGGGGUGGGCAAGUCUGGUGUCAGCCGCCGCGGUAAUACCAGCACCCCGAGUGGUCGGGACGAUUAUUGGGCCUAAAGCAUCCGUAGCCGGUUCUGCAAGUCCCCCGUUAAAUCCAGCUGCUCAACAGAUGGGCCGCGGAGGAUACUACAGAGCUAGGAGGCAGGAGAGGCAAGCGGUACUUAGUGGGUAGGGGUAAAAUCCGUUGAUCCAUUGAAGACCACCAGUGGCGAAGGCGGCUUGCCAGAAUGCGCUCGACGGUGAGGGAUGAAAGCUGGGGGAGCAAACCGGAUUAGAUACCCGGGUAGUCCCAG